rnacentral:rRNA from 1 species
CGUAAACGAUGAAUGCUAAGUGUUGGAGGUUUCCCCUUCAGUGCUGCAGCUAACGCAUUAAGCAUUCCGCCUGGGGAGUACGGCCGCAAGGCUGAAACUCAAAGGAAUUGACGGGGGCCCGCACAGCGGUGGAGCAUGUGGUUUAAUUCGAGCUACGCGAAGAACCUUACCAGGUCUUGACAUACUAUGCAAAUCUAAGAGAUUAGACGUUCCCUUCGGGGACAUGGAUACAGGUGGUGCAUGGUUGUCGUCAGCUCGUGUCGUGAGAUGUUGGGUUAAGUCCCGCAACGAGCGCAACCCUUAUUAUCAGUUGCCAGCAUUAAGUUGGGCACUCUGGUGAGACUGCCGGUGACAAACCGGAGGAAGGUGGGGAUGACGUCAAAUCAUCAUGCCCCUUAUGACCUGGGCUACACACGUGCUACAAUGGAUGGUACAACGAGUUGCGAACUCGCGAGAGUAAGCUAAUCUCUUAAAGCCAUUCUCAGUUCGGAUUGUAGGCUGCAACUCGCCUACAUGAAGUCGGAAUCGCUAGUAAUCGCGGAUCAGCAUGCCGCGGUGAAUACGUUCCCGGGCCUUGUACACACCGCCCGUCACACCAUGAGAGUUUGUAACACCCAAAGUCGGUGGGGUAACCUUUAGGAACCAGCCGCCUAAGGUGGGACAGAUGAUUAGGGUGAAGUCGUAACAAGGUAACCA